AAAAAGUAUUAUAACGCGUUCAAUAUUACAGAGUGGGCCACGAUGGCGUAAAACCUUCAAGUAGUUUUCAUUUUACGUGAUAUUACAUUUAUCAAUCACAGUUACAUUCAUGAGACGCAGUCCAAGUUCGGAAAUACAAAAAAACCGGUUGGUGCCAUAUUCCCUUCCCAGGCGUUGCCGUGGAGACGAACGACACCAGAUAAGGAGCGGAAAGUUACCAUCCCACCCCGGGACGGGGGGGGGGCAGCCACUUCUACCAUGAACCCAUACAUAUAAAAACCUCGUGUUACUGGGCAGCUUUUGUCUUCUUCUUUGGCUAUCCAGCCAGAAGACACACGUCUCGUGUGCGGCCGAUACUUAGAUAAGAUCCGGACGUCUGUACUCCACACUCAUUUUUAAGAAAUCCAUUUGCUGUUAACUUUUUCUAAUCUUUGGUCAUAUCUUCCUCGAUUUGUGAACACGUGUAGGUUCCAAACUCGCAAAUCCCUACAGGUUUGUGGGACUUGGUGGAUACCAUAAAAGUGGAAGCGAUACUUCAUUAUUUCUUUCCUAAUUCAGACCAUCCUGCCUUAAUCCAUUCUUUCUUACAUCCUUAGUUUAAUAAUUGGUGUAUCUUAAUUUUCCCCUCUCCCUCCAUUUUUGUUUCUUCCCUUCAAUUUUCCUUUUAUCAUUUCACUCUUCCAUUCAACCUUCACUUCUCUGUCUUCCCUCCUCCCUUUCUUUCUGACCUUCCUUCCUUUUGUCAUCCUUUCUCUCAUCCUUCACUAUUCCUUCCUCUGUCACUUUCAUUCAUACAUGUUUGUUGCAUCAUCCUUGUUCCAUGCUUCCUUUCAUACUGUCCUUAUCCACCCCCUCAUUUUUUUCAUGUAUCCUUGUUCCAGCUUUCUUUCCACCCUCCCCUCCCUGUUCCUUGCUUCCUUUCCUAAAUAUGUUCAUUCAUACUUUGACCCACCCAACAGUAACAACAAAAUUAUGUUUAAAAAAAACGAAUUCAUUGAUACAUAAUGUAACAAAUAAUGAUGAUACAUUACUUGGCAUCAUGAUGCAUUAGUGAUUACCACAUCUGGCCCACAGUGAUGAGGUUCAGGGUUCAAAUCUCAUCUGGCCUUCUUGUGUUGGCUUUGUAUGCUCUACUUGGAUGGAUUUUUUAAGGGUACUAAGUUUUUUUUCUCUUUUCCAUAUAGGGCUUAGGCUUGGUACACAAAUGAAGAUUUUUGAAAUAUUAUUAUUUUUUAAUCUAUUAAAGAUAACACAUAUAAAGAUUAAAAAAAAUCAGGCAUCGACAGUUUUGUUUCCAUUGUGUGUAGUGUGGUCAGUCAAGUAAUUUCACUACACAAACACCACCAAACACAUUCUGUUCCACCACCAAUCGACAAGCAAAUCCUUAGAUGCAGAAAGAAAUGUUGCGUGACCACACAUGAUCUAACAAAACCGAAGACAAAAAAAAAAAAAAAAUACUUCCACACCGAGGUUACAAGAGUGUUUCUGAUGGCUGCCAGAUGCGGCGCCAGUGCGAUUUUGCCUCAAAAAGACAUGGCCAUUCUUCCCAUCUGAGGAACCCACUUUUAUCCACCCCCCACCCCCUGCCCCAACCAAAAAUAAAAUCCCAAACGCAAACAAAUAUUGGAUAAGAUGUUUAUUUUUAUUUACACUCAUUACUUUGUUCCUAAGUUAGGGCGGUUCUUGAUUGAUUACAUUUUGUUUCAUAUCAUAAAAACCUCAUGAGCCUCCUUUCCCCACACACCAACGUUUUUGGUCAUAAAUAUUGAACAUGUUCAAGAUGUAAGAUUGUUGGGGCUGACCCAUUUUGGACAAUACUGUAUUAUAACAGGGGUAAAUUUACUCGACACACAUCAGAGCUAAUGGUAAUCUUAUAAUAGAUAAGAUUGUCUGAUGUUUGGCAUCCUUAGUAAGGAAGGGGAAAAAUCCUGGACAGUUCUCUUCAUGUGUACGGGCCUAGCUUGUGUUCAAAAUCCUAAACUCAGAACAGUGCUCACCACCUGCUCACUGUGCAAAGUAACCAAAUUUUCUUUUUUUUUUCUUAGCCAGUUGUCUUCACAAGGGUCGCAGGCAUGCUGGAGCCCACACAGGCACAGGGGAGGACAAGCUCCACACGGCUGGGGCCAGGAUUUGAACCCCAGACCUCAGAAUUGAGAGGUAUGGACUUGGCUCCGCAUGCACAUCAGGGAGAGAACCUGCAGCCGAUAACCUGUGCUUUGGCCAGACGGACAUACGCACAUGGAAACGUGUCAGCUGAGAUCACGCACUUGCAUGCCCACUGGGAAUAAUAGAAGUGAGUUUUCGCAAGAGCCAUCCGUCCGUCCGUCCGUCCGUCCAUUUCCUCUGGCGCUCACGUCUGAGCUGCAGCCUACCCGUGCUACCUUUGGGUGAGAAGAGGGGUGCACCCUGGACCAGCCCCCAAUCGAUCCCAGAUUUUCGAAAUAUCAAUUAAUGUAAUUGUAUCCAUGUAGAGAAUUAUGCAACAUUUUGUCCAUCCAAUUUUCCCAAAGCUUUUUGCCAAAGUGAAUACCUUAACUAAAAAGAAGUGGGGGAAAACAAAACACUUUUACAAAAUUUCACAUUUCAUUAUCUUUGUUUAAAUCUGAGUACUUGUUCAUGUUUGAUGUGAAGAAGCACAAAGUAGUUUUGUUGGGCAGUUGCAUAAGGCAGAUGAUAACUGCAUGUUCAUGUUUGUGUAUAUGACCUCAUCCAAGGAGAAAUAGGCACAAAGUUGUUGGAAUCAUCAAAUUAAUUUGAACCAUCUGCCUGCAUGCAUGUUUUUAUUCAAUUGGGUCGCCGGUUAUUCUUUGUUUGUGUUGUCUUUGUCUACAAAAUGGUUUACAAUUUUUCCCUAGACAAUUUGAACCAAAAUAUCAUGGUUUUAUUUUUUGACCUAUCAUCAUGCCUUGAAAAAGAUUCUACCCCAUGUGUCUAUUUCAGUGUGAAUGAUAUCAUUAUUUAUUUGAUUAAAUAUAGAAUGUGUUGGCAGACCAUGCCCAAAGCUAAACGGUUACCAAAAGUGCUUCUUCAUCUGUAUCAAAAUGCAAUGGUUUUUCUCUUUAGCAAAAGGAUGACCCCUCCAUAUAGUGAUACAGAAAUGACUGAAGUGAUGUGAUUUUUGUCUAAUCAAUUUUACCAAAACAAACCCUCCUGCCCCCCAAAAAACAACAAUUAAAACCC